rnacentral:rRNA from 2 species
AAAUUGAAGAGUUUGAUCAUGGCUCAGAUUGAACGCUGGCGGCAGGCCUAACACAUGCAAGUCGAACGGUAACAGGAAGCAGCUUGCUGCUUUGCUGACGAGUGGCGGACGGGUGAGUAAUGUCUGGGAAACUGCCUGAUGGAGGGGGAUAACUACUGGAAACGGUGGCUAAUACCGCAUAACGUCGCAAGACCAAAGAGGGGGACCUUCGGGCCUCUUGCCAUCAGAUGUGCCCAGAUGGGAUUAGCUUGUUGGUGAGGUAACGGCUCACC